AUGUCCUUGGAGGUGACCAGUGUGACUGCAGGAAUGGUGCUGGCAGAGCUGUAUGUGUCGGAUUGAGAGGGAAAUGAUGCUACAGGAGAUAGAACCAAGGAGAAACCAUUUAAAACAGGUCUAAAGGCUUUGAUGACAGUAGGAAAAGAACCAUUCCCUACCAUUUACAUAGAUUCACAAAAAGAAAAUGAGAGGUGGGAUGCUAUUUCUAAAUCACAGAUGAAGAACAUCAAAAAAAUGUGGCACAGGGAACAAAUGAAGAAUGAAUCCCAGGAGAAGAAAGAGGCAGAAGAUAGUUUGCGAAGAGAAAAGAACCUGGAAGAAGCCAAGAAGAUAUCCAUUAAACAGGAUCCGAGUCUGCCAGAACACAAGUGUGUGAAGAUUUGUGCAUUAGAAGGAUAUAGAGGCCAAAGAGUAAAGUUAUUUGGCUGGGUCCACAGGCUGCGUAGACAAGGAAAGAAUUUAAUGUUCCUGGUGUUGUGGGAUGGUACAGGUUUCCUUCAGUGUGUCUUGUCAGAUGCUUUGUGCCAGUGUUACAAUGGAGUAGUCUUAUCUACUGAGAGUAGUGUUGCAGUAUAUGGAACACUAGCUCUUACCCCAAAAGGCAAACAAGCUCCAGGAGGCCACGAGCUGAACUGUGACUUCUGGGAACUCAUAGGGCUGGCUCCUGCUGGAGGAGCUGAUAACCUGAUCAAUUUUAUCCUUCCUAAUAUUUCUAUUUUGAACAGUGUCAAGUUUCCUAAUGGCUUUUUGACUCUAGGCUAUACUGCACAGUACUAUGACAGCAUUACUGUGAUCAAAAACUUCAUGGGACUUCUAGGAAAAUGGCAGAGUGGGGAGCAGUGGUCAGUCAGCCUCUCCAAGAUUCAGAGUCCAGACACUGAAUUUGGAGAAGAGGCAUUUUUAACUCAGUCCUCUCAGUUGUACCUGGAGACCUGCCUUCCAGCCCUGGGAGAUGUGUUCUGUAUUGCACAAUCAUACAGGGCAGAACAGUCCAGGACACGAAGGCACCUGGCUGAGUACACUCACGUGCAAGCAGAGUGCCCUUUCCUGACCUUUGAGGAGCUCCUGAACCGGUUGGAGGACUUGGUUUGUGACGUAGUAGAUAGAAUCUUAAAGUCACCAGCAGGAAGCAUAGUACUGGAUCUCAACCCGAACUUUAAGCCCCCCCAAACGACCUUUCAGAUGGAUGAACUACACACAGAUGCUAUUGUAUGGUUAAAAGAAUAUAAUAUAAAGAAAGAAGAUGGGACUUUCUACGAAUUUGGAGAGGAUAUCCCAGAAGCUCCUGAGAGACAGAUGACAGACACCAUUAAUGAACCAAUCUUGCUGUGUCGAUUUCCUGUGGAGAUCAAAUCCUUCUAUAUGCAGCAAUGUCCUGAGGAUCCCCGUCUUACUGAAUCAGUAGACGUGUUGAUGCCCAAUGUUGGUGAGAUUGUGGGCGGCUCCAUGAGCAUCUGGGGUAAUGAAGAAAUCCUGGCAGGUUAUAAAAGGGAAGAUAUUGAUCCCGCUCCCUACUACUGUAUACAGAUCAGAGAAAAUAUGGUACAUGUCCUCAUGGAGGAUAUGGCUUGGGCCUGGAGCGGUUCCUGACUUGGAUCCUGAAUAGAUAC